rnacentral:snoRNA from 1 species
AUGGGACUUUAUCUCCAUGUCUGUGACGUAUUAUUCUAGAUAGCCAUGGUAAACGAAUCCCAUAUAUCGACUCUUAAUUCUUUCCAACAUGAUGCGAAAGCGUCCUGUAAGCGUUAGGAGGCUGGCCACAGAGUGGAUUUGUUGAUCAAGAAUUUAAUCGUUCUUACCUUAUUCACAACCUUUCUAUUUUGAAGGCCAGAAACAGUA